UACGAAGGGGGCUAGCGUUGCUCGGAAUCACUGGGCGUAAAGCGCACGUAGGCGGAUUGUUAAGUCGGGGGUGAAAUCCUGGAGCUCAACUCCAGAACUGCCUUUGAUACUGAGGAGCUUGAGUCCGGGAGAGGUGAGUGGAACUGCGAGUGUAGAGGUGAAAUUCGUAGAUAUUCGCAAGAACACCAGUGGCGAAGGCGGCUCACUGGCCCGGUACUGACGCUGAGGUGCGAAAGCGUGGGGAGCAAACAGG
rnacentral:rRNA from 1 species